AUUGAACGCUGGCGGCAGGCCUAACACAUGCAAGUCGAGCGAGCGGCGCACGGGUGUGUAAUGUCUGGGAAACUGCCUGAUGGAGGGGGAUAACUACUGGAAACGGUAGCUCAUACCGCAUACCAUCAGAUGUGCCCAGAUGGGAUUAGCUAGUAGGUGGGGUAACGGCUCACCUAGGCGACGAUCCCUAGCUGGUCUGAGAGGAUGACCAGCCACACUGGAACUGAGACACGGUCCAGACUCCUACGGGAGGCAGCAGUGGGGAAUAUUUCACAAUGGGCGCAAGCCUGAUGCAGCCAUGCCGCGUGUGUGAAGAAGGCCUUCGGGUUGUAAAGCACUGUCAGCGGGGAGGCGUUACCCGCAGAAGAAGCACCGGCUAACUCCGUGCCAGCAGCCGCGGUAAUUC
rnacentral:rRNA from 1 species